rnacentral:rRNA from 1 species
CAAUUUCACAAUGGCCCUAAUGACUUUUCUUUUUAAUUUCCCCCAUCCGAUUAUUCUAUGUCUAUUGACAAUUUCGACAAACUAGUCAUAUUAUGAACAUAGUAUGGGUCGGUCAGGAAAACAUGCCCCCAUCGUCUAGUGGCCCAGGACAUCUCUCUUUCAAGGAGGCAGCGGGGAUUCGACUUCCCCUGGGGGUAGGGUACUAUGAAAGGGGGUUGAUCAGGGAUUCUAAAUAACCUUAGAAGUGAUUGUUCCUGGGUCGAUGCCCGAGCGGUUAAUGGGGACGGACUGUAAAUUCGUUGGCAAUAUGUCUACGCUGGUUCAAAUCCAGCUCGGCCCAAAAAUGCGCUGAUCCAUCAUGAAUGGAUAGAACCCAUUUGUUUUCCAGAAAGAACGAAUGCACAGGAAAAAAAGAAAACUUUCUGCCCCUACUUCCAUUUUUUUUUUUAUUUUCUCUUUUUUUCCUUGAAAAAAUGGAUUCUCAAUCGAUUUGAGAAUAACAACAUGGAUUACCAGUAAUCCAUGUUGCUUGAUUACCAGUAAUCCAUGUUGCUUUCACUAAGCAUUCACGGAACUAUCAAUAUAUCCGCGGAUCUCUGUUACAACGCAGUAAUUCAAAAUAGAUCGGCUUUGAAUGAAAUAAAAAUAAUAUGGAUAUACUUUUUAGGGGGAUUGUAGUUCAAUUGGUAAGAGCACCGCCCUGUCAAGGCGGAAGCUGCGGGUUCGAGCCCCGUCAGUCCCGACCGUAUCCAAUAUAUACUCAAUCCAUCCCUUCUUUUUCGGAGAAAAGGGUACAGGGAACAGAAUUUCAUUCCCUCCAAAAAGUGAUCUUGAGUUAUUUUUUAACAUUUAUUAUCAAAAAAACCCGUUCUAUUUCAAAUAGUAACAAUUGGUGGGAGAGAGCCAUAUGUGAAUUAGUACAAUUAUUGGGGGCAGCAUAUUCAGAACAUAGUUACCCUGAUAGAGCCCAUUCAGGUUAACCCGAUUUAUUUUUUGGUUCCAAUUGGGUGGAAUCUUAAUUACUAAAAAGAAUCUCUUCCCAACGAGCAAGGAAAUGAAUCUUUUUUUCCUUCGGGUCCAAAGAAAUAACCAAAAAAUAGUGAAUUUUAUGGAAUAUUAGAUCUUUUAUACCAAGAGAUUCAUCUUUAUCACACUUCUUUGGUUGCCGAGAAAACUAGAUUAUUACCAUUCAAAAAGGAAUUUAGAGCUUAACGCCGUACUUUUUUCAUUUCACGUCGAUGGGUCGGUAACCAAAAAAAGUGGCAAAAUGGAUAUGAUAGAUUUAUGGUAUAUUAUGGUAUAUAAAGUCAAGAAGAGAAAAACGGAUAAGAAAUAAAAAAUUUUUGAUUGGAUCAUUAAUCCAAUUUUUAUUCAGUAUGGAUAAAGGACCCUUCUAUGUUAUACUAUAUCAAUUCUUGACGAUUAAUGCAUGUGAUAGCUCAGAUAUUCUUAAUUCAUGAUAUUGCUGAUUCAAUAUCAUCGCGAUGUAAUUCAUCUCAUUGAAUUGAAUUUACCGGCGAAAGAGUGAUUCCUCAUCUCUAUGGGAUUAAAUCCCGAGUUAUUGCGAAGUAAAAAAAAAAACGAAAUAAUGAUAUUAUGGAAGUAAAUAUUCUUGCAUUUAUUGCUACUGCACUGUUCAUUCUAGUUCCUACUGCCUUUUUACUUAUCAUAUAUGUAAAAACCAUAAGUCAAAAUAAUUAAUUUGAAUGAAACUUGGCUUCUUAGUUCUUAUUAAUGAUUGAAUAAAUACAAAAUGAAUAAAUAAAAGCUUCACCUUUUGAUUCUUAAUGAAAUGAUUGAACGACAAUCAGCAGUAUUCUAUGAAAUCUGCUAGUUCUGAUAGUAUGGUAGAAAGAAAUAUAUUCAUCUUUCUACCAUACUAUUUACUUUUUUAGUCUUAGUGAAGUAUAGAAAGUCGGAUUCUAUAAAUCUAUAAAUUAAUAUAGAUCAAUCAAAAAUAGAAAAUCGUUGAAAUAUCUGUUUGAUUGAAAAAAGGAUAUUAGUCAUAUAGUACAUUACUAUACCAGACCAGAAUACAACGGAACUUUGAAUUAAAUAAAAAAUGUAAAAAUUGACAGCGCUUUACAGAACUAUCUAGAAAACAAUUGAUAAAGUUUGAUUCAUCAAUUUAUUAAUUAGUAGUACUUAGAGUCCACUUCGUCCCCACACUACGAGUGAAAGGGAAAAUGUAAAGACUACCAUUAAAGCAGCCCAAGCAAGACUUACUAUAUCCAUGUGAAUGAUGUCCCCUAUCUCGAUAAAUAUGAAGGAAUUAGUCCAUUAUUGUUCACUAAUAAUAGUGGAUCAAUAGUGAACAGUCAAAAAGGAUUCUGACCCAGGACUCUUGAUAAAUCAAUACACUAAAUACACUUCAAACAAGUUGUUAUAUGAUUUUUCUAGUAGAAAUGGGAACCAUUAAGCCUAUACAAAAUAGGCCUUGCCAUUCUUGGAAGUAGUAAGGGAAUGUUAUUAAUUGAACACAUAGAUAAGAAAAUCUAUUGUUUCUUUUGUUGACCGUCAUAAGUAAAAGACAUAAACAAUGUGGAAUGAAGAUCAAUCAUUCAUCCCUCUCUUUCCUAAUUUGAUUUAAUUUUUACUAUGCUCCCGAUUGUUACUCUUGAACCAAUCGGGGAAUAGUCUAUUUUUAGUUCAAUUUAAGCUAAGCUAAGAUCGAGAAGAUCCAGUCAGUAGCCACUACAUUGUAGUGGAAGGACCCCCAAAUUCUCUUCCACUAGAAUCUUGAAUCGUAGACGCAAGGAUUUAAAUCCUUUUGAGUUUUGAGAAGCGACAGAUGCUUAGAAUCAAGCAAGUCUCAACAGUUCGUUUGCGUCUGUGAGGGAAUAAUUCAUUGAGUUAUAUAUCGGCCGACCAUAAUAAGGAAUUUGGAGUCUUGUGUUGAUCAGGCGACACCCGGAUUUGAACUGGGGAAAAAGGAUUUGCAGUCCCCCGCCUUACCACUCGGCCAUGUCGCCAAGAUGAUAUAAACUAGACUAACAUUUUUUCCUUCUGGAAGAUUACUAAACUUCUUUUUUUAUUGUACUUCCUUCGUGACUUCCAUUUUAUCUUAAUACCUUUCCUAAAAUAACUUCUUUUUUGAUUGGAUUUAUACCUUUUUAAACAUUACAGGGGGUAUUACAGGGGGUCUCUAAUGGGGUAUCUUUUUGAUAAAAUUCUUAAGAAGAAAUUAUCCGGAAAAUGUUCUGCUUCAAUUUUUAGAGUAGAAAUUUUGAUAAAACCCACGUUGCGCCGAAUAGAACUGAAAUAAAAGAGGAAACGGAUCUAUAGAUAUCUUUCCAUGUUUAAUAAAAAACCCUUGUUUCGCACUUCAAUCAUAUUCUAUGAAUUUUGCUAAAAAUAGGUCAAAAAAUCUCUCUCUUCUAUGGGAACCCUUUUUUGAACAAACGAAUCCACGAAAGAGGUUAAGUGCUAAAAAAAGAAACUCUAUAUUUCAACGAAUAGCUCAAAUCUGAAAUCCUUUUCGUUUGCUUCUAUCUAAGGGGUUUGAAAUAUGUAAUAUCAUAAUAAUGGUAAAAAUGGAAUUACUUUAAUUUGCUAUUCUAUAACAAAACUAGAGAAGUUUCAGUAGCAUUUAUCACUCUUUUUCAUUUGUAUCUGUUCGAAAUUCUGGAACAGAAACACUCUUUUAUUGUAAGAGUUGGUUAAAAUUUCAUGCGAUUCAGUAAAAAUACAAAGAAUAUUAAUUCCAUCAUUACUAGAUCGAUCCAUACAUAAGAUUCGAUGAAGAAUGAGCCAAUAAAUGGGAUUUUUCGAUAAAUGGGAAAUUAAAAAUGCUCCGGGAUGGAAAUGAGGGAAUGUCCACAAUACCUGGUUUUAAUCAGAUACAAUUUGAGGGAUUUUGUAGGUUUCUUGGUCAUGGCUUGACGGAAGAACUUUAUAAGUUUCCAAAAAUUGAAGAUACCGAUCAAGAAAUUGAAUUUCAAUUAUUUGUGGAAACAUAUCAAUUGGUAGAACCCUCGAUAAAUGAACGAGCUGCUGUGUAUGAAUCACUCACAUAUUCUUCUGAAUUAUAUGUAUCCGCGGGAUUAAUUUGGAAAACCAGUAGGGAUAUGCAAGAACAAACUAUUUUUAUUGGAAAUAUCCCUCUAAUGAAUUCUCUCGGAACUUCUAUAGUAAAUGGAAUAUACAGAAUUGUGAUUAAUCAAAUAUUGCAAAGUCCUGGAAUUUAUUACCGUUCAGAAUUGGACCAUAGCGGAAUUUCGGUCUAUACCGGUACCAUCAUAUCCGAUUGGGGGGGAAGAUUAGAAUUAGAGAUUGAUAGAAAAGCAAGGAUAUGGGCUCGGGUGAGUAGGAAACAGAAAAUAUCUAUUCUAGUUCUAUCAUCAGCUAUGGGGUUAAAUCUACGAGAAAUCAUAGAGAAUGUUUGCUAUCCUGAAAUUUUUUUGUCUUUCCUGAAUGAUAAGGAGAAAAAUAAAAUAGGGUCAAAAGAAAAUGCCAUUUUGGAGUUUUAUCAACAAUUUGCUUGUGUAGGUGGAGAUCCGGUAUUUUCUGAAUCCCUAUGUAAGGAAUUACAAAAGAAGUUCUUUCAACAAAGAUGUGAAUUAGGAAGGGUUGGUCGACGAAAUAUGAAUCAGAGACUGAAUCUUGAUAUACCCCAGAACAAUACAUUUUUGUUACCACGAGAUAUAUUGGCAGCUGCAGAUCAUUUGAUUGCAAUGAAAUUUGGAAUGGGUACACUUGACGAUAUGAAUCAUUUGAAAAAUAAACGUAUUCGUUCUGUAGCGGAUCUCUUACAAGAUCAAUUUGGAUUGGCUCUGGCUCGUUUAGAAAAUGUGGUUCGGGGAACUAUAUGUGGAGCAAUUAGACAUAAAUUGAUACCGACUCCUCAGAAUUUGGUAACUUCGACUCCAUUAACAACCACUUUUGAAUCUUUUUUCGGCUUACACCCAUUAUCUCAAGUUUUGGAUCGAACGAAUCCAUUGACACAAAUAGUUCAUGGUAGAAAAUUGAGUUAUUUAGGCCCGGGAGGAUUAACAGGGCGA